AUUGAACGCUGGCGGCAGGCCUAACACAUGCAAGUCGAGCGGAUGAAGGGAGCUUGCUCCUGGAUUCAGCGGCGGACGGGUGAGUAAUGCCUAGGAAUCUGCCUGGUAGUGGGGGAUAACGUCCGGAAACGGGCGCUAAUACCGCAUACGUCCUGAGGGAGAAAGUGGUGGAUCUUCGGACCUCACGCUAUCAGAUGAGCCUAGGUCGGAUUAGCUAGUUGGUGGGGUAAAGGCCUACCAAGGCGACGAUCCGUAACUGGUCUGAGAGGAUGAUCAGUCACACUGGAACUGAGACACGGUCCAGACUCCUACGGGAGGCAGCAGUGGGGAAUAUUGGACAAUGGGCGAAAGCCUGAUCCAGCCAUGCCGCGUGUGUGAAGAAGGUCUUCGGAUUGUAAAGCACUUUAAGUUGGGAGGAAGGGCAGUAAGUUAAUACCUUGCUAUUUUGACGUUACCAACAGAAUAAGCACCGGCUAACUUCGUG
rnacentral:rRNA from 1 species